rnacentral:sRNA from 1 species
GAGACGGCAAUGACCGAAGACAUGAUCUCCGAUACCGGACGGCACAGAGAGGGAAGCCCAGGCUGCAAGCUUCCCCGGGAACCGGGCGUGGAUUACCCCUUCGCAGCCGUCCGCCGAAGCCCGCGCUGCGGGUGGGUAGGCGGCACCGGCCGAUCCCCGUUACCCGAUUCCAUGAGGACUCGCAGCUCCGCACGCAGGGCAUUUUUUCGCCUUUGCGCCUAGCGCCUGCUUGUCGAACAAGGGUGGAACCACGAGCUGAACGCACUCGUCCCUUUC